rnacentral:rRNA from 1 species
AUUGAACGCUGGCGGCAGGCCUAACACAUGCAAGUCGAGCGCGCGGCGGACGUGUGAGUGAUGUCUGGGAAACUGCCUGGUGGAGGGGGAUUACUACUGGAAACGGUAGCUAAUAACGCAUACCAUCAGAUGUGCCCAGUUGGGAUUAGCUAGUAGGUGGGGUAACGGCUCACCUAGGCGACGAUCCCUAGCUGGGCUGAGAGGAUGACCAGCAACAUUGGAACUGAGACACGGUCCAGACUCCUACGGGAGGCAGCAGUAGGGAAUAUGGCACAAUGGGCGAAAGCCUGUUGGAGCCAUGCCGCGUGUGUGAAGAAGGCCUUCGGGUUGUAAAGUACUUUCAUCGGGGAGGCGUUACCCGCAGAAGAAGCACCGGCUAACUCCGUGCCAGCCGCCGCGGUAAUAC